rnacentral:lncRNA from 1 species
CUUUCUUCUGAUGAGUGAACAGCCUCACCGGAACUUCCCCAUCCUCCUGGCUUGGUUCCUGAAGUGGCCCAAGGCUGCCUUCUCCCUCCCGUGGGUGAACAGGGUCACUGCUUCCUCUCUUGUCCAGGCCCCCUGGCCUGACCCUGAGUCCCGGGCGUAACGGCGUUGUUGAACCACCACAACCCCAGGCGGCGCCUUCCUCUUGGCCCAGGGGCUCUCUUGGGGACAGUGUGCAGUACUCCCCAAGGGGGCUUUGCUGUGCAAAAGCAGCCCCUGCCGAUGCUGCGGCUCCCGUGGAUGGAGCACUGCCGUGGGAACAGAGUUGGAACUCAUCCAAAAGAAUAAAAGACAACUGUGUUGGAAGAUUGCCAAGGUUUGUAGCUGUGCCACCGCAGACUUCAGAGAUGAACACUGCCUUGGAGACGAGGAGGAUUCAAGUUGCAGAAGCAUUUAGAAACCUCAAACUUGAGACACGGUGGGAAAUCAGGAAGACAUGAGGCUUUGCUCAACACUGGAGAACACCAGUUCUUUUCAGUUUGUAUGCAUCUUUAUCAGGGUCUAUGCGAUUCUGAGGCAAGAGGCAUGAAACAACUCUGAGGAAGCAGGUCGGAGAGCAGCUGACCUGGUGAUCAAGCAGUGAGGUCAGUAAUACAUGCUCAACAGAGAAGGCAGAAGUUACAUUUGAUGGAUGAAGCCAAGUAGGAGACCAAAAAGCCACAUGUGGAGGAAAACAUUCAGAUUCCCAGACUGAGAGUGAAGGUGGUUCAGGAUCCAAAUAUAGGAGGGGCAGCCUGCUAAAAGCAGGGGCAGCAAGACGACAUCUCCAGCUGAGAGACACAUGUACCACUUAGAGAUGAGAAAGAUGCACCAGGGUUCCUGGUGUGUGGAAGGUGACUGAGACCCUCCAUGAAUGAGGGCACUUACUGAAUUUUGUGGACAGAACUUUUUCUUCUGUGUUUGCAGGUAGAUGUUUUUAAUGGGUUUCCUGCUUUAGGACUUUUUGAACAGCCAUGGAAGGGGCCAGGGAGAGGGAAGGAAUCUCUAGUCCUGAGCAUUGCCGAGUCCUUCAUCCAUCCUCAG